rnacentral:lncRNA from 1 species
CCAAGACCUGACAAGUGAGAGCAACUUAAUAUAACAUAUGUCUACAGUUUGCUGUCCCUUCCUUAUCAGAGGCCACUUGCAACACAGCAAGACAACUCUUCCUAAACCUGUAUUAAACAAAGCACUUUAGAACAAUAGUAAUUUAUUUUGUUUCUCCUAUUUCAUUCCUAGUUGUUCUGAAAAAAAUAUAUUGUUUAAGUGGGAUAACUGUAUGGAGGUUCCAACAUGUAUUAAAACAUGAUCACACACAUCGGGAUCUAUAAAAGGUUUCGGUUUCCAAAGAUGUUAUCAGGGUCCACAAAAUUUUAUUAAAGUAAUUAAUUGAGAUUAUCAAAUCAAGGUUUAAGUUUAAGAACAGCAUUUUAUUGGGAAUUAUACCAAUAUGUAUAUGUUAGUGUUUUAGUACUCAACAAGCAUUUAUAUAGAAUGAGUGCUUCUCUCAUCCAUACAAGGCAUUCUAAAGGGAAAUUAUGUAUUAAAAUUUUAUAAAGGACAUAAACAAAACUGAGAGACGUACAUGUUACACUAGUUAAGAGUUUAACUUUAGUCUCUAAUUUGAGUUUAGCCUAGAUAAUUAAUUUAUUGAUGUCGUACUGAUCCUUGUGUUUGUAUGAUUAUAGAGACCGUACUGGAGUAUUUGUGCUGCCUGAUAUUUGGGACUACACACCAAUCUCUCUGGCUGACCUACCUUUUUUUUGCAAUUAAAUCUGUUUGGUCAAAAACCAUGCUGGCCGAAGAAACUGAGAUGCUUACUUAUGAGGACAUAAACUAACUUGGAAAGUCCUGAAGAUGCAGUGCUGUCUAAUGCCGCUAUUUCUGUAUUACCCUUUCAACAAUUGGGGUGUUGCACAGAGUAUUGUGGUGAACAUCCAGCAAACAGAAGAAUUAAGAACUAUGUGGAAGCUGACAUUGUCUUGUUGUCAGCCAUAUUGCUACCCUUAGCUAUGUUAUGGUGUCUAAGAUUAUGGAACAAAGUUUAUGGUGUCUAAGAUU